UACAGGCUUGCCUACAGCAGGAUCUUAGAGAGUCACUUUCUUACCUGAGGACCCCUCCUCUUCAAUAACCCUAAUUUGUCUCAAACUGACAUAAAACCAGACAGCACAGAGUCUGUUGGCAUAAUCGGGUUGCAAACAAGAAAAGCAAUAAAGCUCCCGACGCCCUUCCUGGAGGACUCAGUUACUAUGCAGAGCAGCAACCUCUCCCAGCCUGCUCAGCUCACAGUGACUGAGAUUCUCCCUCAGCAGUCUGCAGACACAGCAGCAAAAGACCUUUAAAAAAAAACAACCAGGCUUUCACUACAGGAAACAUUUGCAGGAGGAAAUGGUCCAUGGAUUUCUGCAAGGCACCAUCUUUCCAACCCAGGACCACCAAGGAGGAGACCACACAAGUAGCUGAUAGACGUGCCCACUGUGCCACCCCUGGAUUUGUCAUAUGAAGCAGACAGAAAUGCAACACCUUCCCCUGUCUCCUGUUCUCCCUCCCUCUCUCCCGUUUUUAUCACCCUCGGUAUCUUCCCAGUUA
rnacentral:lncRNA from 1 species